rnacentral:rRNA from 1 species
UACGUAGGGGGCAAGCGUUGUUCGGAAUUACUGGGCGUAAAGGGCUCGUAGGCGGCCAACUAAGUCGGACGUGAAAUCCCUCGGCUUAACCGGGGAACUGCGUCUGAUACUGGAUGGCUUGAAUCCGGGAGAGGGAUGCGGAAUUCCAGGUGUAGCGGUGAAAUGCGUAGAUAUCUGGAGGAACACCGGUGGCGAAGGCGGCAUCCUGGACCGGCAUUGACGCUGAGGCGCGAAAGCCAGGGGAGCAAACGGG